GAUGAACGCUGGCGGCGUGCCUAAUACAUGCAAGUCGAGCGAACGGACGAGAAGCUUGCUUCUCUGAUGUUAGCGGCGGACGGGUGAGUAACACGUGGAUAACCUACCUAUAAGACUGGGAUAACUUCGGGAAACCGUAGCUAAUACCGGAUAAUAUUUUGAACCGCAUGGUUCAAAAGUGAAAGACGGUCUUGCUGUCACUUAUAGAUGGAUCCGCGCUGCAUUAGCUAGUUGGUAAGGUAACGGCUUACCAAGGCAACGAUGCAUAGCCGACCUGAGAGCGUGAUCGGCCACACUGGAACUGAGACACGGUACAGACUCCUACGGGAGGCAGCAGUAGGGAAUCUUCCGCAAUGGGCGAAAGCCUGACGGAGCAACGCCGCGUGAGUGAUGAAGGUCUUCGGAUCGUAAAACUCUGUUAUUAGGGAAGAACAUAUGUGUAAGUAACUGUGCACAUCUUGACGGUACCUAAUCAGAAAGCCACGGCUAACUACGUG
rnacentral:rRNA from 1 species